UACGGAGGGUGCAAGCGUUGUUCGGAAUCACUGGGCGUAAAGGGCGUGUAGGCGGUCCGCUAAGUCUGAUGUGAAAGCCCGGGGCUCACCCCCGGAAGGGCAUUGGAAACUGGCGGACUCGAGUCCCGGAGAGGAAGGUGGAAUUCCUGGUGUAGCGGUGAAAUGCGUAGAUAUCAGGAGGAAUACCGGUGGCGAAGGCGGCCUUCUGGACGGUGACUGACGCUGAGACGCGAAAGCGUGGGGAGCAAACCGG
rnacentral:rRNA from 1 species